UGGAGCCGCAGUAGCUCUUCACUCUGCAACAUGCUUUGCUCGCGGCCAAUAUCAUAAUGGCAGCGCUUACCCUCCUAUCAAUUUGACUACCAUUCUUGCCCUCAAUGGUUGGCUUCCCCAAGCUAGCCGCAUGCGCAACCUCCUCAUUCGUAAUCGUCCAUCACGAAACAGAGCUGCCUCUCUCCCGAUCUUCCUAGCUCACGGACUUUCGGAUGUCUUCGUUCAUCAAACCCAGAUGGACAGAGCCCAACAGUCUCUUAGCUCCUCCGGUUUUCAAUAUAUAUUUUACCAGGCAUAUGAAGGGUACCUGUAAAUUUAUCAUCCUAAAUACAAGUAAUGAUAUCUCAAGGAUUUUUGAGUCAUUUUGCUCGUCUUCGUGUUGUAGGACCGG